AAACGAACUAACACCAUCCUUCAAGUGUUCACACAUUUGUCUUUAUCUCUACGUUGUUGCGACGUUACUUUCGGGUGCACCUUAUAGGCCUGUAGCUCAGUUGGUUAGAGCGCACCCCUGAUAAGGGUGAGGUCGGCAGUUCAAAUCUUGCCAGGCCUACCAUUCCUAAAAAUGGGGCUAUAGCUCAGCUGGGAGAGCGCUUGAUUUGCAUUCAAGAGGUCCGCGGUUCGAUCCCGCGUAGCUCCACCACUUAUCGUACGUCGCAGCGAGAUUAGUCAAGAGCACAUAAGCAGUGUGUUGUUGACUGGUUUCGGCAACCAGUUGUUCUUUAACAAGGUAAAUUAAGCUGAGUCUUUGAGUUAGAAAUCAGCAUUUGAGUUCGCUCAAGUGAUGAGGAUAAUUCUUAGAUAAAAGUUUUCAGGCACGGUUUUCAAUUCCCGUGUCUGUAAAUCGAGUUUUUAAAAUAUACAUACUGUGACUUAAGCGUCACAACAUCCGGCGCGUUGAUGCAUUAACCUUUGCAUCAGCGUUCAUAAGUACCUGGCCUACGCACAAGGGGGUCGGGGAAAUGUCUUCUUGAGCUCUUCGGAGCGAUAUCCUCGGAUAUCACAGAUAACUUCGG
rnacentral:tRNA from 1 species